GGAUGCGUCAUACCAGCACUAAGCACCGGUCCAUCAGAAUCCGCAGUAGCGUGCUUGGGCGAGAGUAGUACUAGGAUGGGUGACCCCCUGGGAAGUCUCGUGUUGCAUCCC
rnacentral:rRNA from 1 species